AUUGAACGCUGGCGGCAGGCUUAACACAUGCAAGUCGAGCGAGCGGCGGACGGGUGAGUAAUGUCUGGGAAACUGCCUGAUGGAGGGGGAUAACUACUGGACAUGGUAGCUAAUACCGCAUACCAUAAGAUGUGCCCAGAUGGGAUUAGCUAGUAGGUGGGGUAAUGGCUCACCAAGGAGAGGAUCCCUAGCUGGUUGGAGAGGAGGACCAGCCACACUGUACCUAGGUCACGUUCCAGAUCCCUCGGGGAGUCAGCAUUGGGAAUUAGUGCCCAUGGGGCGAAAGCCUGAUGCAGCCAGGCCGCGUGGGGGAAGAAGGCCUUCGGUUUGUAAAGCACUUUCAGCGAGGAGGCGUUACUCGCAGAAGAAGCACCGGCUAACUCCGUGCCAGCAGCCGCGUAAUUC
rnacentral:rRNA from 1 species